rnacentral:rRNA from 1 species
AACGCGAAGAACCUUACCUGGGUUUGACAUGGGCGCUAAAACCGCAGAGAUGUGGUGUCCUUCGGGGGCGUUCACAGGUGGUGCAUGGCUGUCGUCAGCUCGUGUCGUGAGAUGUUGGGUUAAGUCCCGCAACGAGCGCAACCCUUGUUCGAUGUUGCCAGCGGGUUAUGCCGGGGACUCAUCGAAGACUGCCGGGGUCAACUCGGAGGAAGGUGGGGAUGACGUCAAGUCAUCAUGCCCCUUAUGUCCAGGGCUUCACGCAUGCUACAAUGGCCGGUACAAAGGGCUGCGAUACCGUGAGGUGGAGCGAAUCCCAAAAAGCCGGUCUCAGUUCGGAUCGGGGUCUGCAACUCGACCCCGUGAAGUCGGAGUCGCUAGUAAUCGCAGAUCAGCAACGCUGCGGUGAAUACGUUCCCGGGCCUUGUACACACCG